rnacentral:rRNA from 2 species
UGCGCAGGCGGUUAUGCAAGACAGGUGUGAAAUCCCCGGGCUCAACCUGGGAACUGCACUUGUGACUGCAUGACUAGAGUGCGUCAGAGGGAGGUGGAAUUCCGCGUGUAGCAGUGAAAUGCGUAGAGAUGCGGAGGAACACCGAUGGCGAAGGCAGCCUCCUGGGAUGACACUGACGCUCAUGCACGAAAGCGUGGGGAGCAAACA